UAAUAAUAAAAUAAUAAUAUUAAUAAUAAAACAAUUAAUAAUUCAGCCUCCCAGAAGGAUCCCUGAGGAGCCAGCUCGUUGCCAGCCCUGCUUGAAAGGGCAGGGGAGCUGCAUACAGCGUACCCAGAGCUGGCAGUGCAUGGCUACAGGGGCAGGGAUGGCGAAAUCCUGUGAUAAAAGAGGAGGAGGUGGCGUUCUGCAGGGCCCUGAUCGCGGUCCCGGAGUGUGGGCAGCAAGACCAGGGGCAGUGUGGUUCCCUGGUUCUUAAACGGGCUCCCCGCAGCAGUGCUCGCAGGCAGCACCCGCAGUCCAAGAGCUUUUCCCUUUGAGGUGAAAUGGGGCUGAAGUGUUGCAGCCUCAGCUCCUGUAAAGGCCGUGGAGCUGAUAACGGGCAACGGGGUGCUGCAGGGUUACAGCACAAAUCCGAGCAGGCCUUUGGAAAACAAGGUUCCUGUGAUGCCCAAAUCCCAAAGCCUGGAUGGACUCAGUGGUGUGAGGAGCUCCUGCACCAAGGGCUUCGUCCUGGCACAAGGAGCUUCUCUUCCUAUUCCCUACAGCGUGCGUGAGCAGGAGAUACAUCUACAAAGGCAUUAUCCAGCGACAAAGGGAGUUAAUCCCAGGUGUCUUUCCCUUUGAGCAGCAGUGAGGUGAGCAGUUGUGUUUGUGUGUUUUUUUAUGACAGUUACUUGAAGCAGUUUACAUAUGGUAACGGCAUUUUGUUCCUCUCUAAUAAGGAAAACACACUGGGGCCGUGAGUUUGCAUCAGUAUGUUUGUUUGUCAUUAGUAAGGGAUCAAUACUGAAGGAAAAAAUAGAAAAGGAUUCAAGAUCUUCCUAAAAAUCACAUUCUGAUAGGUCUGACAGUAACACGCUUUUCUGGCUUUAGGGCCAAUGUGAAUCAAAAGGAAAGAAUCAAUAAUUAUACUUAUCCAAAUUAAAAUGAAAAACAAAAGAAGUUCAUUUGUGUAAUGGCAGCCUUACUGGAAGCUGCAGUCUGCUCGGUCUUCUGAAAAUCAGAGCUAGAAAAAGCCCUUUCAGACCAUCCUUCUCAGCAAAGCAGGACAGGAUGAGCCAGAGCCUAAUGCACUGACUUUCUCACAGGACCAUGGCUGCCUGAGAGCUACAUCCAAGCUCCUGUGGUAAUUUACCUGGUAUCUGACAGCCUAUUUAAUUUAAUAGGGAACAGUCAGCGUCACAAGACUGCAGGUGCUGGCAAAGUUGAUUGAAACCAAGUGUCCCGUGUUGCCUGUGUGAGAGGCGAGUCCUACAGCAAAGGGUUAGUCAGACUGGAGCUGCAAUUAGAGAAUGAAUGCACUGAAAUAAGGCUUGAUUUUGUUGCUUUGACUGGAAUCUUUUAUCUUAGAUUAAACUAGCGCAGUUAAUUAGCAACAAACUUUGAUUUAAACCUCCUUGUUCCCAAAUUGCAUGUUGGUUUUGUGGCCUAGAACACCAAAAGGCGUUCGGGUGAUUUGUGUCAACAUGUCUUUGUUCUCAGCAGCAUUAGAGAGGAGUCUGGCCUGAAUCUAGGACUUUUGUUUUGGAGGCCACGCAGCCUGGCGGCCCAGAACUGCAAAGGACUGGAAUCCUUUUAGCGUUUAACACUUCCUUGGCAAACAUCCUGCUGCUCUAUUGUUGCCCUCCUGAAGUGCAGGAGUUCCUUUCUGAGGAGGAAAAGCUCUCCAAACUCAGGGAAGUAUUUGCACUUGUGGUUGGUGACAUCUGCUUUGCUGCAAGCAUCACCGAGUGCACAUCCACACAGCCUUUUAACCCUGUUCUCUAGGGCAACAAUUUUGUGCUCUAGUUCUUCCCAGCUCUUACUUAUCACCUAUUUUCAGGGAAUAUAGGAAGUGGUUUCUCUUUUAAGAAAAGCUUAGGUUGCUUACCCUAAGAGCAAAGAUCUGUGCAGAAAUCCCCAUAAGGAAACAAAACCUUCCCCGGGGAAACCAUCCUUGAACUGGUUUGCACUGAAAGCUCACAAUUUCACCGUGCCUUUGGCUGGGAAGUAUUCAAAGGGUUGUGGCACGCUUGAAGAUUUUCUUGUUGCAAUCUCUGGUGCAAGAGUGCAGUCUCUUCUCCUUCACUCCCUGCACAGAUUGGCUUUAUAGGAGUGACUGAAAACAGCCCAGGAUGUCUGUCCCUUCCAGGCAAUAGACCCAAGGAGGUAGCCUUGAUUUUUUGCCCAUUUUUCUGAUUUGGAACUGGGCUCUGACUUAAGGACACCAAACUCCUUUCAGACAGGGUCUGUAGCUUCUCACCCCUUCUCCCUGGGAGAGUCUUGCUCUAGGUCCAUUUCAGCGUGCUCACAUGUUUUUGCACAACCUGAGUCUUUGAUUUUCCUCAAGUUACUUUCUGCGUGGUUUAGUUGCAGUUGUUCAUAACUCCUGUCUUUUCCAGACCCUGCACUGCAGCAUUUCCAGACUCAAUGUGAAAAAAAAAAAGAACAGACUUAGUGAGACUGCAUUUUUGUUGUACGGUUGUGCUGCACACCCCUGACUUUUGCAGCUAAACCAAAAAUGGGAAGAGGGAACAAUGUCACCUCCUUCAGCUAAAGAUCCUCAACCAUACCAGAACCAUUUUAACAGAGCUGAAUGCUUCCAGGGGACCUAGUGAUGUUUUGUUGCUCACAGAAGUGGAGCCAUGUCAAAGCCGAGGGACUGUUCUGUAAAAAGACUGAUUGUGCUUGCUGUAAUUGCUGAAGGGACAGCCCGGGCCUGCUCCGUGGAAGCGUCGCCUCCCUGAAGCCUUGCUGAUGUGAGGAUAUCCAGCCCUGGCUUUCCCUGCUGCCUCACCUCUUCGUCUUGGUGUGAUAAAAGCAGGCACUGCUCUCAGCGAGGCUUCCCCAAGUGAAGAAUGGGAGUGAGAAGGACAGAAGCAGCCAGCGCAAGGUCCCACGCCGCUGCUGGGUAGGGAGAGCCCCAAGAACAGCCCUCCCUUUUGUACAGGCAGCAGAGAAGGUGAAUGAAAUCGUAACCAAACGCUUCCUGCGCAGACAUGCACAGGGCUGCGUUAUUCGCUCGUACAGCACGAGGCACGGCAGGGUGCGUGGUGGUGUGCUGCCACCAUCCGUGACCGUGCGGGGCAAAUCAGCUCCUCGCCUGCCCUCAGCACGCCAAAUUCAUCCUGUGCUGGCCCUUUCCGAGCCCACCUCGAGCUCCUCACCCACAGCAGCAACAUUUGUUGAGGCAGCGAUGCUCCCACCGCUGCCUGCAGGCUGCCUUUGGGCUGACUUGCACCCGGCUGCGCCCACGGGGAGGCUGCGAGGCUGCAUCAGGGAGGCUGCGGGCUUGCAUCACGUCCAGCUCCCUCCCCGGGGAAUUUUACAAACGUUAAUGAAUGGGGCUGGAGCUCUGCCGUGACGCCAGCCAGCCGUGCACGGGUUUAUAGACCGAGGCCAGCAGAGAUCAUGCUCCUGCCUCUGGCGCUGCACCGCUGGGGGCAAUUUCGUGUGGGUGCCAACGCGCCCACGGCAGCCCCGUGCUCACGUGCUGGAUGUUGUGUUCACGGCAGUGACGUCCCCACAGCAGGGACACGAGCCAUGCAGAUUUGCAGGGUGACACAAAACUCCUCUCGGGACCGGGAGCUGACAGUGAUUUCUUUGUCAUCCCCCUGUUGUCGUCUCCCCGCUGCACGUCCAUUUGUUCACGGUUAGGAGGAGAUUGCUGAUGACUAAACCCCGGGUCUGCAGCACAGUGUUUGAAGGAGCAACCCAGAACUGCAGGGUUCAAGCUCGUAAGAAGAGUAAGAAGUGGGGACAGUGCAUUUCCUCACAUCUGUGAGAUCCGGAGAGCAAGCCACUCUCCCACUCCAUCCUGGCUGGGAGGGAAUUGCAUCACUGCCUUGUACAGAUAUUUAUUUUUCUCCAAAAUGCGCUUGUUUUAUUGUUUUCUUCCGAUGGAAUUUGCCAGCGGGUCCCGAAUUGUGUGGCUCUGAAAUUUAGAAGCAACAUACCUGUGUGGGGGAGAGAGAAUGAGUGGUUUUCACUCUGCAAUCUGGCUCUUCCCUCCCUCCUCCCCGUUCCCCACAUCCCCAUGUGUUACAGAGCCAGCUGCUCCCGGAAUAGUUUGGGAAUGAAAUGUCACCGUUUGAAACUGGUGAGUCACACUUUUUGAAGCCGGGAGGGGGGGGAGGGAGGGAGGGAAUAUGAAAUCUUGUGGUGUGGCAGAGCGUCUCCUGGUGAGUACAGAGAGAUUCGGAAAACCACAGGCUCCCCGACGAUGGAGUCGAGGGGCUUGGAAUAAAGGCUGCUGGGUGUGUCCGUGCUGCUUUCUGCAGGAGGAUCUCGAAACCCGCUGCAAACUUCAAUUGUCUUACUUAACAUGCCCGCUGCAGCUGGAUCCCAGCGCCUUCUCCGACAGGACUAGGUCGGAUCUGUCUGACAACGCACCUACAGUGACUCUCUUAAUUAAGUCUCCCUGCACUGCUGUGAGGGCAGCAUUCUGUGUUCCUGUGGCUGCCCCAGCCCGCUGCAAGAAGGUUUGUGUCCAGUACCAGAGGUGACAGGCUGGGCUGUGUGGCACCACUCACAGCUUUAACCUCAGUCACACCUCAGAGAAGACAUGCCGCCCAUUCUGCAGCCUCUGCUUUGAUGGUCGUGCGCUGAAGGGCAGGUGGAAGCUGGAAAUGUUGAUACCGUGAACAGUCCCAGGAUGGGCUGGCAGCAAUCUGCCCGAGUCCCGUCUUCGGUGGGAUUCUGGAAACGUGCUGUCUGCAGAGAAUUGAACCAGCAGCACUGCGGGGGCUGUAAGUUGCAGCAGGGACACAGGAGUGAGCCAAGGAGCCAGGGGAUGGAACAAGAUGGAAGGAAGCUGCUUUUACACAGGUGUGCGGCGGUAACUCACCAGUACCUGGGGCAGGGAGCAGCAGUGAGUGGAUCCCUUUCCUCAAACGACUCUUUUUAACCUGUGGGCUAUGAAUCCUUGGAAUUCCGCGCACUGCUUUGAAGAGGUCUGCAAAAGAUCACAAAGACAAGCAAGUGUAUUGUCAGUAGGUUUAAAUUAGCUAUGCAGAGGGCCGUGAUGCCAGUGGCAAACUGCAGGAGUCGAUGACAAAAUUUGAAGGCAGCUUAAUCCACAGAAAUCCACCUGUCCUUUGUGCUCUGACAAGCAUCCUUCUGGCAGGAUCUGUGCAGCUGAACUCUGUCACUGAAUGUUGUGGAUUCAAGCAGCUGCUCUGACCCCUCUGCAAGGACUGAGGCAGGUGGAAACCUCUAAUCUGGCAUCUGUCGGAUGCUCUUACCAGUGGACUGGACUGAAAACAAAAUCUUUGUUUUAGAGAAGAUGGUGUAGCUGGGGCUAUAGGACCAGUUUUGCAGCAAGGUCAGUACUUUGUCCAUGAAAUAAGUGAGCAGGUACACACACAGCAUGCUUCCUGCAGGCUGAAAGGUGCUUGAAGUAUCUCAGGUGAACUUUAUUAGGAACUAAAGGCAAUCACCUUCUGGCAAAAUCAUGCAACAGAGGUUUCAGCCCUGUGGUCAGACACACAACCUGAUGGGCUUUUAAGUAAUGGAAGUUCAUAAUGCUUUGAUGAAAAGAGGCUUGAACUAGGAAAAAGAUCACUAAAGAUUUAAAAAGAGUCCUUUUAAAGUGUUAAAAGUGUUCAGUUUAGGGCUUCACAUUUUUUUCUCUGUGCUGUUCUGCAAGUUCUUUCCUGGUAGACUGUGAGAGAAUUUGUCUUUUUUUACAGUGCCUGGAAAAAUGCAGGAGAGACACUGAGGAACCUUCAUGUAUUUUGUGUUGGUUAUUAGCAUGGAUGGUCCUUGUGCUUGUAGGAGCAAAUGGACUCUUUGUGACGAGAACAAGAUGCCAUAACUGGAUGUAGUAUUUUAGCCAUAUGCACACAUAGACUAACUUUUUUGCGUCUCUUACCAGAAGUCAAAAUGGGGUUCUCAUUUGGAGACCUGGGCCCAGGGGAAGCAAAAAGACCUCAGGGUGAAUGCCAAAGUCCUGCAUCUUCCAGAGAAUACCCAAGAAGUGUUCCUCUCCUUUUCCUGUUGAGGAGUACCUGUGGAGGAGUCUCCUCUGAUUGCUCUACCAGAAGCAGGAUGACACUUAAGGAGUGCUACUUCAUGGCAACCUAUUCCUGAGUACCUUUCUCUAUACUGCCAAGCAUAUACAGAAUUGAGAACUUUUCAAGCUAUUCAGUCCCUGAGUUUCAAACCAGCAAGCAGUGCGGGCUCCUGCAUGGCCCCCUUGAAAUCUGUUUUUGGAGCCGCGAUCUUCAGUCUUACAGGUUAAAUCCUGAUAAAGCUUCACUUGCAAUUCAAGUUUUUGUGAGGAAUCCUGGCUAAAUCCUUUGGUAUUGCUCAUAAAUCAGAUUUAAGGAAAACAUUCGUGUUUACCUGAGAACUAAACUGGACAUUUUUAGUACAUGUUAUGCGGAGAAGCAUGUCCAAGUGAUAAAGUAACAACUGAUUGUUGACUAUCCAGCAAAGUCGAGAAGUGCCACCUUGGGAUGACGUGGAUUGAGGAUACACUUGCUGUGCUUUUCCAUGUGGAGGAACUCUGCGUCUUCCCAGCUGAGCUAUCAUGUAAUACAGAUGACUCUCUGGAGGGAAGGUUUGCAGCACAUUUGCAGUAUGUUUUAGCUACAGUCAACAUUUAUAUUCCAUUGUCAUUUGGGGGUAAGAACUAAUUGGCAUAAUCAUCAAUGCUUUAAAAUUAAAAAUUCCUCCAAGAGACACAGGAGAGAUUGAAACAGUUUCCAGCCCCCAGAGGCAAAUCCUUUCCCAAGCUAUCUGCUGCACCAAAAGGCUUUGUUCUAGAAACAUUCCUAAGCUGUGCCCAAGAGUAAAUUAAACUAUAGCAAACUUACAAACGCUCAUGUGCGUGUGUGUAGCAAGCAGGCCUUGUUUUAACAAUUACUACGUGACAAAAUGGUGUCACUAUUUUCUGCUCCUGCUUUGUUUUGACUAAUGUUCCGUGCUGCUAUGCCACCUUUACUGUGUGGGCUGGCACAGUCAAGAAGUUUUUGUAGUGUCUGAAGGGUUUUUUCUUCAUAGGAAAGAUUCUGGUGUCUUCACAGGAUGGAAAACAAAGGGCUUAAUGACACUGAGCCUUCCACAGCUUGGUUCAAACUCCUCAAGUCAGGAGUUGGCCUCAAAAAUUUUUGAGAGCCAUUCUUUUCUGCUCUAUUUUAGAAUGUCAGUGAAUCAUUUGGGGACCAAAGUAAAAAUCCAAAGUGAACCUCAAUCAAGACUUCUGGUUCAAAAAGCCUUCUCUUUCCGGAGAGUGAGAUGCCAGAAAAACCUUGGUGAGCCUUUAAGUUUGAAAAGUAACAGCUGUACCCAUGGAGGUGUCCCCUAAGGGCCAAUCUUUAAAUUUCCACAUUUGUGCCUUUGGGAUGUGACAGAGGCCUCAGCUCCCAUUGACAGCAGCUUAAGAAUGGGUGUUACACCUGUGAAUUCGUUAUUUCUCAGAGAAUGCUCCCCAAAUCCUCAGCAGCUCUCCAAGUAAUGUGCCAGGAAACUUUGGGAAGCAGGAAUGGUUAAAUGUUGUAAUUGUUCCUGAGCCGGGCAGACAGAAAAAUUAAUAUUUUUCUAAAGGAAAAAUUGAGAGAAGAACAAAUACAGGUUCUCCUUGCUAAAAAGGAAACAACCGUGUUUUAUAAACGCACAAUCCUUGUUAUUUCUGAAUAAGACAAAUGCCACUGCACCUUACAUUGGGUAAACACGAUGACUCUGCAAGAAAGAAAGAGCGGCACAGAAAUCUCCGUGAAAAUUUCAGAAUCUGCGGGGCACUGAACAUAUGCAUUGUCUUUUUGGUAUCCUGUUUCUUCAGAGAGAUGGACUUAAAUUUCAUAGACAGAAAUUCUCCCUUUUAUCUUUAUCUCCAGUUUUGAUGUGGUAGCCAUGGAGAAAAGCUCAAGAUUAGUAACAGUAGGUUGUUGCAGAAUAAGAAUAACUCUCUGCUUGGA